AGAGUUUGAUCAUGGCUCAGAGCGAACGCUGGCGGCAGGCCUAACACAUGCAAGUCGAGCGCCCCGCAAGGGGAGCGGCAGACGGGAGAGUAACACGUGGGAACGUGCCCUUUGGUUCGGAACAACACAGGGAAACUUGUGCUAAUACCGGAUAAGUCCGUAAGGAGAAAGAUUUAUCGCCAAAGGAUCGGCCCGCGUCUGAUUAGCUUGUUGGUGAGGUAACGGCUCACCAAGGCGACGAUCAGUAGCUGGUCUGAGAGGACGAUCAGCCACACUGGGAUUGAGAACGGCCCAGACUCCUACGGGGGGCAGCAGUGAGGAAUUUUCGGCAAUGGGGGCAACCCUGACCGAGCAACGCCGCGUGCAGGAGGACGCUUUUCGGAGUGUAAACUGCUUUUCUGUGGGACGAGCUUUGGACGGUACCACAGGAAGAAGCCCCGGCUAACUACGUGCCAGCCGCCGCGGUAAUAC
rnacentral:rRNA from 1 species